GGCCAGAUAGCUCAGUUGGUAGAGCACCUGACUAGAGAUUCAGGAGGCCUGUGUUUGAAUCCCAGUCUGGUUC
rnacentral:tRNA from 1 species